rnacentral:rRNA from 1 species
GACGAACGCUGGCGGCGUGCUUAACACAUGCAAGUCGAACGGAAAGGCCCCUUUGGGGGUACUCGAGUGGCGAACGGGUGAGUAACACGUGAGUAACCUGCCCUUGACUUCGGGAUAACUUCAGGAAACUGGGGCUAAUACCGGAUAGGAAUCCUUGCUGCAUGGUGGGGGUUGGAAAGCUUCGGCGGUUUUGGAUGGACUCGCGGCUUAUCAGCUUGUUGGUGGGGUAGUGGCUUACCAAGGCUUUGACGGGUAGCCGGCCUGAGAGGGCGACCGGCCACAUUGGGACUGAGAAACGGCCAGACUCCUACGGGAGGCAGCAGUGGGGAAUAUUGCACAAUGGGCGGAAGCCUGAUGCAGCAACGCCGCGUGCGGGAUGACGGCCUUCGGGUUGUAAACCGCUUUCAGCAGGGGCGAAGCUUGUGGUGACGGUACCUGCAGAAGAAGCACCGGCUAACUACGUG